UUGAGAGAAAACCUUAUUCUUUAUAUCUUGGCGACAACAUUACCUAAUUCUUUCUUUUUUUAAAUAUUGUUAGUAGGUAUGGUUAAAGACAAAGGCUUUAUGGUUGAUAUUAAGUGAGUUUUUCUCUUAUUUUAUAGAGAAACAAAGUGAUAUCAGCAACAACCACCACCAUGCGUGUAAAAAGGAUUAGUUAAUGUUGAAAGAAAGGAUAAAGACCUUUUCUGUUCUGACCUAUAUACAAGUCUACAAUUUACUCUAGGUACACAGGGCAAUACAACAAGGUCUGCCAAGGACAAGACGUAAUAUUGGGAGCAAAUAAAACACGUGUUUAUUUGGGUCAAAUUCUGUACCAAUUACUUCUAGAAACGACGGACGUAUCGUAAUAAAAUGAAGUAACAAAUAAAAUUACAGAGACAGAAUUUAAUUUCCAGUAAACAAAAUUUAUGUGAAGAACGUUCGUUUUUUAAAUUGUUUCCUAAUUUAAAAACGUCAAACCUGUCAAAGCUCAAUGCUAAGCAGUGUUUACACGUACUCGCAUGUGUGAAGUGCCUACUCGCCUUGACCCGAGGCAACUUUACAUCAAGUUCCCUUGAUCACUGGAACGUUCGUUACGGAAGGCCAUACUCUUUGAAAGCACGUGACCGGAUGUGGAUCGAGAGUGAAUUCUCUCCGAGUUAGCAGUUCUCUGAAGUUGGAUGAAUCAUCAACGUAGCGUAGCAAAAGGAAAAUAUUUAAAUGUACGUAACUUUUCCGUGAAAUCUACCGUUAUUUCACCAUAAUUACGAACACUUUUCAAACAUU